GAUGAACGCUGGCGGCGUGCCUAAUACAUGCAAGUCGAGCGAACGGACGAGAAGCUUGCUUCUCUGAUGUUAGCGGCGGACGGGUGAGUAACACGUGGAUAACCUACCUAUUAGACUGGGAUAACUUCGGGAAACCGGAGCUAAUACCGGAUAAUAUUUUGAACAGCAUGGUUCAAAAGUGAAAGACGGUCUUGCUGUCACUUGUAGAUGGAUCCGCGCUGCAUUAGCUAGUUGGUAAGGUAACGGCUUACCAAGUCAACGGUGCAUAGCCGACCUGAGAGGGUGAUCGGCCACACUGGAACUGAGACACGGUCCAGACUCCUACGGGAGGCAGCAGUAGGGAAUCUUCCGCAAAGGGCGAAAGCCUGAUGGAGCAACGCCGCGUGAGUGAUGAAGGUCUUCGGAUCGUAAAACUCUGUUAUUAGGGAAGAACAUAUGUGUAAGUAACUGUGCACAUCUUGACGGUACCUAAUCAGAAAGCCACGGCUAACUACGUG
rnacentral:rRNA from 1 species